CGGUGAUGAAAUUGACAGCGCCAGCCUCCGACAGAGCCGCCUUGAAUGCCUGCAGGUCCACUUGUUCUGCGCCAUUUCCAGCCUCGGCUGCAGCCACAAUGUUCUUGAAGUCCAAUGACUCAUCAUCAUAAAUAUCCCACCAUUUCUUUACCAGCAUCUUAAUGUCCUCCCUCUCCAUGUUUUCCUCCUCUCCAGUAUACCUCCAUGGCUUAGAACCCUAAAGAAACACAAUUACAAUUUAAUUAGUAACUAAGAUCUUAAUCUGUGAUUAGUAAUCACAUUAGCACAAUAGUGAACAAGUUUGACUUGGUCAAGCUGAAUGCUUUCAGGGUGAAGCCAGAGCAUGGCCAACACAAGGUUGUAGUUUGAAGGGAUGGGCCUGUACUUGUCCCUGAAAAACACGUUCAGAAAGUCCUGCCAAAAUUGGACCAAAUUUCAUGUGAACACGUUCAAAGUCCUGCCAAAAUUGGACCAAAUUUCAUGUCAGAUUAUAGAGCAUCUCCGUCUCCAACGGAGAUGUUAAAUGUAAAUGUUAAAUUUGAAUUUGAUGGCUUAUGUUCUAAUUUGACACUUUGGAAAAAAAUUUACUCUACUCAAAAUGCCAAAUAUCAUAUUAUUUUAUUAUAUUUUUAAAAGCAAACGAGGCUCAUAUGAUGCAUAAAGUUUUCAAAUAAAGUAAAUGGUAGUGGGGUCCAUGACUAAAAAAUAUUAAAAUAAUAUUUAAGGACCUUUUAUAUUGAGAGGGGACUUAAUACACUUUUGACAUCAAGCUUUUUGAUAUGUUAUUUUUGACAUAUCUGAUCUAUUUCUAUUCGAUUUCUUUCUAUCCAGCAACAGUGACGGGUAUGCAGGCACUGUUUAUUGUGACUUUGCCAUUAUCUUUGGCAACUCUCCUGCUACACCACAAUUUUAGUUGAUUAAAUUGUGGGCCCCAAAAUUCGCCCAUGUGGCGUAUGACUCAUUAGUUGUCAAAGGUGACAUGUGUCGACAUCUAGCGGAGUGCAUCAAACGGUUCAAAGUGAAGGCAAUAUUAAAGGGAAGAAUCUCCUGUGACUGACUCUAAUUUAAUUCAAAUAUUAAUCAAGUCAAUCAAUCGAAGAUAAUUUGGUUAAAUUGCCAAAUUAUCGGAAUUAAUUUUAAAUCAAAUCAAAAUUCCACAAAGGAAGGUCUUAAAGAAGGAAAGCUAUUUAGGUCAAGCAUCUUGCAGGAGCCUAUAAAUAGGAGGCCUCAAGACAAAAGGGGGAGCUGAGACAAACAAAGCACUGAGAAGAAAUAGAAAACUCUCUGCAUUCCUCACCUCACUUUGGAAGGAGCCACAAAGCACAACAAAUUCGUGCCGGUUCCUCCACCCUAGAAAAAUCCAAACACCAAACAAGCCUUGUGCUACUUGUUUGAUCAAGAUCAAGUCUCUACAACCCUUGUAUCAAACACAAAUUUUCUUUAAACACUUUGGAGAUCGAAUUAGAGGAUUCAAUACAGAGAUUAUAACCCUAAAUUUCAUUAAUAUAAAUAUUAUUUUGUACACAUGUCCUUGUCUCAUUUGUCACCGGAAAUUCGUGUUUACAGGGAUAUUCGAAUUCUGAGUAUAAGGAACUGGCAAUUUGGGCUAUUGAUUUAAUAUUGCGUUUUCUUAUUAGUAUUGUUACAAACACCAACUUCUUAUUCCCAACUUAUGUAAUAUAUGACAUUGCAAUCCAUAUUGUAAUAUCUUUCUAGUGUGAUAUAACACUUUUCGUAAUUAAAUUUUCUUGAUUCUAAUUGAACUGUAAUGGUAAAAAAUUAAAAUAUUGCGCACGCUAUUUAGCCUAUUAAUACAUUUCCUUAUUGGUUUAUUUGAUUGGGGAAGAUGUUAGGGAAGAUUUAAUACUUCGGAGUAAAAGUAUUAUCUUAGUUUUAACAAAAAUAUCAAAUCAUAAAAUUCACGAGAAUCAUUAAUUAGUGUAAUAAUUUGAGUGAAGGCUAACACAAAGAUGUCGUACGAAUCUCCUUUGUUGUAUACGACAUAUCAUUUGGGGCUAAUCUUAAGAAUAGCAGACAAAAAACCAUAGCGAGCUUGGUUUAAACAUCAGUCAAAUGAACAAAAUAUAUGAAGUUUAAGCCCAACCCAAAUCAACCAAUCUUAAAGUUUAUGCGGCAUUAACAUUAGUAUGUCAGUUUUGUUUGAUUUAAUUAAGAACCAAGUGAAACUGCAUAUUCUUUAUAUAAAUGAUUCAUUAACCUAAGCCUAAGUUGCCAGUAUUUAAGUUACUAAUCCCAUUAGAAGGCCACAGAACAAAAAAAAAGAAGAAAAAAAUGGUUUCAUCUAGCUCUGCAAUCUGUUGUGCUAUUGUGAUUGUUGCUUCUUUUUUCAUAGGUUCUUUUGGCGUCUCUUACAAGACCCUGACCAAGAUUUGCUCCAAAACCCAAAACCCAAAAACAUGUAUGACAAAUUUACAAACUGUCCCAUGCACCACCUCAGCUGACCUGCCUAAACUCUCACUGAUUUCUAUAGAGCUAGCAAGGAAACAAGCUGACCAAAACCUUGAGACUUUCAGAGAGCUAAGCCACAAUGCCACUGCAGCUAAGAUGAAAGAGGAGUUUGAUGCCUGUGUGAGAUUUUACAAGGAGGUAAGGCCCCAAAUCCAAGCAGCACAUCUCUUGUCACAGAAGAGACAGUACAAGAACAAUUCAGCUUUGCUUCAAGCAAAUGAGUUUGCAUUAAGAUGUUCAUUAGGCAUCUCUGUUGACUCACUGGAAAUUAAUCAGCUUCAAGAAUCUGUGCUUUUAAAGCUGGACACUUCAAUCAGUGUGAAUCGAUAUAUUGCUCUAGCGCAGCUAAAUAAGUUUUAGUUGUUCGUUAAAGUAAAUUAUCGCUUAUAUAAAUUUUAAAAAAUAAUAAUAACUGAUGAGGGUUUCCCCAUAUUGGUUGUUUGAACCAUUCAUACUCUAUAUUGGUUUCUUGCUCAAUGCUUCAUAUUAGUUUGUUCGAAGGUUGGCCUUCAAAGGACAAAGUGAAAGUGACAAAUUGCAAAAACAUAUAUAUUAAAAAUAUAUUUAGAACUAAAUAACAGAGGACAUGAAUGAUCCUCUUUAGACCAAACAAAAAAAGGGUGAAUCCUGAGGAUGAUUAAAAUUUGUUAACAUUUUUUCAUCUAAUCCCUGACCAAUGGGGCAGGAUUGCUAGGGGAAUAGGGGAUUGCAGCUAAACCCAAUGUGUGGAUAGACUUGAAUUACUUCUAAUUAGUGAUAAACAUAAUCUACAUAAUUUGCAUAAUGAUGAGUUGUCUUUUGACGUGUCAUCGACUGAAGUACUAGUAAUUGAUAAGAUGUGGGAGUGGACGGUUGAGAGCAUGAAAUAAACAUUUAUAUUUACUUAUUAGUUUUCUCCAAUAUCUUAAUUGACUCCCAUCACCUUGAUUCACUUUGAUAUAUUUAUAAUAUUUAACAAACCAAAUUUACAUGAUGCAAUGUUCACAACAAAAACAUUUAUAUAUAUAAACUAUUCAUGCGUUUGAAAAUUAUCACAAAAUUCUAGUGAGAAAAGAAGACACAAGAAAUUUAUUCAAAACUUUAGCCAGGUUUCAAAAUUAUCACAAAAUCCUCAUGAAAUUUUUUGGAAUUUUGAGCACUUGUUCCCAAAUAAAUUUUUUGAAACCAUAAGGAUUGCAGAUCAAUUUUGACGUCGUAAUAAUGUAUUAAUAUAGUUUUGUUAGAAGUUCAACAUUGCCAUUUACCUAACUGUAGCUUACUACUCAUUGUGACAUUAAGCUAACUGUGGCUAACUAGUUCUCUUUGGCCUUGUUUGGUGAGUUGGACUGGAUGAGACCUUUUCAAUUAAAAUGGACAUGGAUCCAGUCUGUUGUUUGGUGAAUUACAUUUUGUUUGUUUCUUUUUAGGUUAUAAUUCUGACUUGAGCUUAGGGGUGGGCACGGUUCGGUUUGGACCGGUUUUUGCCUCAAAUUAGAACCGAUCUGAUACUAUUCAUCCGGUUUGGUUCGGUUCGGUUUUAAUAAAAAAAAAUUCAAAAACUGUCCGGUUCGGUUUGAACCGAUUUCGGUCCGGUUCCGGUUCCGGUUCGAUUUUGAACCGGAUUAUAAAAAUUAUUAUUUUUAAUUGUUUUUUAAUACAAUUCUCAACUGAAAUAUUAUUUUUUUACUUGAAAAUUAACAAAUUAUUCAAUUUCAUAUAAAAAAUAAAUAUUAAAGUGAGAAAAGAGAGAUAUUUUGACAUUGAACUUGGAUAAAUAUUAGUUUUUUUUAGUGAAAUUAAAAAUAUAGCAUUAAAUAUAAUUAUAUAUUGAAAUUAUAUAUUUUUUUAGUUUCACCGGUUCGGUUCGGCCCGGUUCGAUUUUUAAAGACAUGAAACCGGAUCCGGAACCGGUCCAAACCGGUCUGGUUCGGUUUUUGACUGGUUUUUGACUUUUUGGUCAACUCAGUUUUUUUCCGGUUUGGUUCGAUGCGGUUCGGUUCGGAUUUCCGGUUCGCCGGUUUGAGUGCCCAACCCCUACUUGAGCUCAUAUAAUUUUUUUUUAACUUAUCGAAAAAAUAUUACAAAAGAUACAUAGAGAAUAGAAGGCCACAUUUUGGUAAUUUGCCUAGGGCCUCCAAAACCUUAUAGGACCGCCACUAUAUUGAGCUUUGGGCUGGUGCAAUAUAGAACCAAGGUUGGUACAAAGGCUUAACUCGAGCUGGGUUACUAUAUGAUUAGCAUGGUCCGCCCAUAGUAUUGGGUUGAUCCAGCUGCCCGCCUAAUCAAAACCUCCAUGGCCAUGGAGUCAUUUUAUAGUGAUGGUCUUAUUUAAGGCCUUUAGUCUCAAUCGUUGGAUCAAACUAACUAAUUUAUUUCAACGGUUAAGCAAUAAGCCUCAUCUAAGGGCUUUAUAAGGCCCUCACUAUAAAAUUCUACUAUGGUCAUGUUAUGUUAUCAUGAGGUUCACAUUGAUUACAUUGGAUUAAUCACAGCUUCUUGAUGGAAUUAAUUGAUAAUUUUACUACAUUUGAUACAAGUGAUAUUGGGAGAGAGGAGAAUCAAACUUAUGAUCUCCAGUGCAAGGGUUAAUGUGUUUAACUACCACUAAAACUAUAAGCUUCUUGGAAUAAUUCAUUUACAUUUUAGACUAGAAUGAUUAGACAUAGUCAAAUUCAAGUUAUUUUUAGACGACCAAACACGUGACUAGGUUUUGAGUUUGUUUCGUUUUGUGAUAUUUGUGUGUUUAAACCAAUUUCGAUGUCAUUGUCCCAAAAACCCUAGCCCCUUUUCUCCCAAAAAACACUCAUAGAGUUUUUUCCACUUUGAGGGGGGAGGAAGCCAUUGUUCUUCCCCCAUCUCCCCUCUUCUCUUCCUCCUUUCACCUCUUCCCCCAUUUUCAAAGACAAAGGGUUUUUCCUAUUUGUCUUAGUUUUGUUAUGAUUUUCAUCCAACUAUUAUAGGCGACUGCGGCUCAGCGUCAGAUCUUCACUUGCAUUUCGGCGUCAGAUCUCCACCAUAAUCUGUUUUGCAAUUUCUUUAUGUUUGGAAUAAGUUGCAGAGACUCUUUGGGUUCUCUGUGUAGUUUUCACCUCUCCUUUUGUGAGAGUUUUUAUCUCUCAUUUGUGAGAGCUUUUCAUCUCUCAUUUGUGAGAGUUUUAUUUGUAUUGUUAUGGCUUGAUUUUUUCAAGCUUUAUCUUUUUUUUAUUAUUCUAAGUUUGCAAUCUUAGUUGGGAUGCCUAUGUCAAAGUUUCUUCGAUCCUGCCUGAUCGUUAGUGGAGACACAUCAGAUUGUCUUAAUUUUGAUAUCAGACCACUCCGUUAUUGUAAUUGCCCUUUUGUGGCUAGUUUGUAUCGGCCCUUUGUGGCUAGUGGCUGUUUUGGCUGAAUUAUGAAUGCAAUCAUAGAAUUUCUCAACCAAAAAAAAAAAAAAACACGUGACUAGGAUUGUGAAUCCUUUGCCAAACAUGUAGCUUCAAUAUUCAUAACAUAACACAAUCAAAGUUUAGUGACCAUUAAUAGUCUAAUAAUCAUGCAUGUAAUAGCAUUAUAAGCAGAUAACUUCUAAAACUUUUUCUAAGAAAUCCAAAUGGUUGGUUGCUUCUAGAAGACCUAAUUCUAGUUGUGCUGGGUAGCCAUUAGGUCAUGCAAAGAAACCAAAGCCAUAGCAAUCAAAAUCCUCAUCUGCCUAUUUUUAUUAGUAAGAGGGUUCUGAGUGUUAGGCGGUGUGCUGAGUGAGUCUUCUCAGCUAGCCUCAGCCCUCGGUGUCAGAGUCUCAUACCUCUACACACUGUCGUAAUCCUUCGAAUUCUGAGCGUAAGAAACCGGCAAUUUGGACUAUUGAUUUAAUAUUGCGUUUUUUCAUUAGUAUUGUUACGGACACCAACUUCUUGUUCUCAAUUCCUGUGAUAUAUGACAUUGCAAUACUGUAAUAUCUUUUUGGUGUGAUAUAACACUUUUCGUAAUUAAAUUUUCUUGAUUCUAAUUGAAAUGUAAUGGUAAAACAUCGCGCAUGCUAUUUAGCCUAUUAAUACAUUUCCUUCUUGGUUUAUUUGAUUGGGGAAGAGGUUAGGGAAGAUUUAAUACUUCGGAGUAAAAGUAUUAUCUUAGUUUUAACAAAAUAUCAAAUCACAAAAUUCACGAGAAUCAGUAAUUAGUGUAAUAAUUUGAGUGAAGGCUAACACAAAGAUGUCAUACGAAUCUCCUUUGUUGUAUACGACAUAUCAUUUGGGGCUAAGCUUAGGAAUAGCAGACAAAAAAACCAUAGCGGGCUUGGUUUAAACAUCAGUCCAAUGAACAAAAUAUAUGAAGUUUAAGCCCAACCCAAAUCAACCAAUCUUAAAGUUUAUGCGGCAUUAAGAGUAGUAUGUCAAUUUGGUUUGAUUUAAUUAAGAACCAAGUGAAACUGCAUAUUCUUUAUAUAAAUGAUUCAUUAACCUAAGCCUAAGUUGCCAGUAUUUAAGUUACUAAUUAGAAGGCCACAGAACAAAAAAAAGAAGAAAAAAUUGGUUUCAUCUAGCUCUGCAAUCUGUUGUGCUAUUGUGAUUGUUGCUUCUUUUUUCAUAGGUUCUUCUUUUGCAGUCUCUAACAAGACCCUGACCAAGAUUUGCAUCCAAAACCCAAAAUCCAAAAAAAGUGUGACAAAUUUACAAACUGUCCCAUGCACCACCUCAGCUGACCUGCCUAAACUCUCACUAAUUUCUAUAGAGCUAGCAGGGAAGCAAGCUGACCAAAACCUUGAGACUUUCAAAGAGCUAAGCCACAAUGCCACUGCAGCUAAGAUGAAAGAGGAGUUUGAUGUCUGUGUGAGAUUUUACAAGGAGGUAAGGCCCCAAAUCCAAGCAGCACAUCUCUUGUCACAGAAGAGACAAUUAGGAGAACAAUUCAGCUUUGCUUCAAGCAAAUGAGUUUGCAUUAAGAUGUUCAUUAGGCAUCUCUGUUGACUCACUGGAAAUUAAUCAGCUUCAAGAAUCUAUGCUUUUAAAGUUGAACACUUCGAUCAGUGUGCUCUAGCGCAGCUAAAUAAGUUUUAGCUGUUCGUUAUCGCUUAUAUAAAUUAGAAAUAAUAAUAAUAACUGAUGAGGGUUUCCCGAUAUUGGUUGUUUGAACCAUUCAUACUCUCUGUAUUGGUUUCUUGCUCAAUGCUUCAUAUUAGUUUGUUCGAAGGUUGGCCUUCAAAGGACAAAGUGAAAGUGACAAAUUGCAAAUGUAUAUAAAUUAAAAAUAUAUUUAGAACUAAAUAACAGAGGACAUGAAUGAUCCUCUUUAGACCAAACAAAAAAAGGGUCCUUACACAUAAAAAAAAAUGACUCCCAAGUUAAAUAAUCCUAGGGAGACAAGAAAAAAAAAAUCCAAUACAUUCUAUAUAGACUUCAUUCUCUUUGAGAAACAGCAGGGGCCAACUAAGCAGCAGAUGGGGCGGUUCUGAAAUUGACAACGCCAGCCUCCGACAGAGCCGCCUUGAAUGCCUGCAGGUCCACCUGGUCUGCGCCAUUUCCAGCCUCGGCUGCAGCCACAAUGUUCUUGAAGUCCAAUGACUCGUCGUCAUAAAUGUCCCACCAUUUCUUUACCAGCAUCUUAAUGUCCUCCCUCUGCAUGUUCUCCUCCUUCCCAGUAUACCUCC
rnacentral:lncRNA from 1 species